rnacentral:tRNA from 1 species
ACCUGGGUGGCUCAGUCAGUUGGGCGUCUGACUUUGGCUCAGGUCAUGAUCUCACCGUGCGUGGGUUCGAGCCCCGCGUCGGGCU